UACGUAGGUGACAAGCGUUGUCCGGAUUUACUGGGCGUAAAGAGCGCGCAGGCGGUCGUUCAAGUCGAGUGUGAAAGCCCCCGGCUCAACUGGGGAGGGUCACUCGAUACUGAUCGACUCGAAGGCAGGAGAGGGAAGUGGAAUUCCCGGUGUAGUGGUGAAAUGCGUAGAUAUCGGGAGGAACGCCAGUGGCGAAGGCGACUUCCUGGCCUGUUCUUGACGCUGAGGCGCGAAAGCUAGGGGGAGCAAACAGG
rnacentral:rRNA from 1 species